UCGCUAGGAAGCUAAAUAUUGGACAAAGCGUUGGCCUUUUAAGCCAAAGAUUGGUGACUCCCGACCACCUCUAGUGAA
rnacentral:tRNA from 1 species